rnacentral:rRNA from 1 species
GGGUAUGGCUGUUCGCCAUUUAAAGUGGUACGCGAGCUGGGUUUAGAACGUCGUGAGACAGUUCGGUCCCUAUCUGCCGUGGACGUUGGAAAAUUGAGAAGAGCUGCUCCUAGUACGAGAGGACCGGAGUGGACGAACCCCUGGUGUUCGGGUUGUGUCGCCAGACGCAUUGCCCGGUAGCUACGUUCGGACAGGAUAACCGCUGAAAGCAUCUAAGCGGGAAGCCCCCUUCAAGAUAAGUUUUCCCUGGGAAUUUAAUUCCCCUAAAGAGCCGUUAAAGACUAUGACGUUGAUAGGCUGGGUGUGUAAGUGCGGUAACGUAUUGAGCUAACCAGUACUAAUUGCUCGUGAGGCUUAACUAUAUAACGCCCAAG